AGAGUUUGAUCCUGGCUCAGGAUGAACGCUAGCUACAGGCUUAACACAUGCAAGUCGAGGGGCAGCAUGAUCUUAGCUUGCUAAGAUUGAUGGCGACCGGCGCACGGGUGAGUAACGCGUAUCCAACCUUCCCCUUAGUAGGGCAUAGCCCGUAGAAAUGCGGAUUAAUACCCUAUGUUGUAUAUUGAGGACAUCUGAUUUAUACCAAAGGUUCACCGCUAAGGGAUGGGGAUGCGUCUGAUUAGGUAGUCGGCGGGGUAACGGCCCACCGAGCCGACGAUCAGUAGGGGUUCUGAGAGGAAGGUCCCCCACAUUGGAACUGAGACACGGUCCAAACUCCUACGGGAGGCAGCAGUGAGGAAUAUUGGUCAAUGGACGAGAGUCUGAACCAGCCAAGUAGCGUGCAGGAUGACGGCCCUAUGGGUUGUAAACUGCUUUUAUACGGGGAUAAAGUGAGGGACGUGUCCCUUUUUGUAGGUACCGUAUGAAUAAGGACCGGCUAAUUCCGUGCCAGCAGCCGCGGUAAUACGGAAGGUCCGGGCGUUAUCCGGAUUUAUUGGGUUUAAAGGGAGCGCAGGCCGAUGGUUAAGCGUGACGUGAAAUGUAGCCGCUCAACGGCUGAACUGCGUCGCGAACUGGCUGUCUUGAGUGAGUUCGAUGUGGGCGGAAUUCGUGGUGUAGCGGUGAAAUGCUUAGAUAUCACGAAGAACUCCGAUUGCGAAGGCAGCCCACAAGGCCUUUACUGACGCUAAAGCUCGAAGGUGCGGGUAUCGAACAGGAUUAGAUACCCUGGUAGUCCGCACGGUAAACGAUGGAUGCCCGCUGUUUGCGAUAUACUGUGAGCGGCCAAGAGAAGUCGUUAAGCAUCCC
rnacentral:rRNA from 1 species